CGCUAAGGCAACCGAUGCUUUUUUUCCCCCUCACUUGCUCUCUGUAUCUCCCCCUUUCUCUCUGUCUCCCUCUCUCAUUCCCUUUCUCCACUGCCAGAGAGAGCGAUGAUCGCAGCAGCGGAGUCUCAGUGAACACAGCGAAGCGAUGGAGAGAUGCUCCAUCUCUCCUGUCGCACGACUGACUGCCCUCGCCUCCCUCCUCCUGAUUGCUGUGGUGAUACAGCCCUCCACCUGUAACCGUGACGACAGUGAAGGCGAGGAGCAGGUGGA